ensembl:lncRNA
UUGUAAUUGUAGCUGUCACUGUGAAAUAGUGUUUGCAGUUCACUGUCAGAGACACUUGUCCCGAAUGCCCCCUUUCACUCCCAUGCAGGUGGAUGCAACUUUAGAGAAGCCCUCUCUAUAUAGUCCAGGCUAAAAAUGCUGUACUGGAAGAAUGGAAGUGUUGCAAUACCACUAGCCAGAUGAACUUUUUUUGGCACCAGCACUACUUUUAUCAUGCACAAGAAAAAUACUUAGUUAAAGAUAUUUACCUGGCAUUCUCAUUGAUUCCAGACCUCAAACUGGAAACUAAGUUCCUCUAUUUCUGGCAGCUACCACUUUAUUUUCAUAGAGUAACAACUGGCAAAUAACUUUCUGAAGGAAGCACAAGGCUUUUUAUUACAUGGUUUUCAAUUAUAGUGUUGCUGAACUUUGCAGAUAUAAGCCAACACAGACUCUGCACUGGGUUAUAGAGCUCUGUGGACUGUUCUUAAGGGACUCUGGUGCUAUUUGAAAGAAAGGAAUGUGGCUAUCUAUGAUUGUAACAACUACAAUACUGCAUAGCUCUUAUAAAGAUUGAAUAGCACCUACAGAACUGAAAGGAACUGCUGGGAAGAACUCAAAAUACUUGCUAAAGGAAGCAAGCAUUUCAACCUCUGCCUAGAUAAUGGAGAGUUAGAUAAGAAGUGAAGCUGAAUGAUUUGGUUUAAGUCACUCAGCAGGUAAAAGAUAAUAAAAUGUAAUGGGCAAAACAGCAGUUGAGGGUGGAAGAUGCACCAGGAAAUGAAACACAGGAUGUAUUCUGAGCUGCCAUUUGUUUUGAGACCUGGACUCUCUAAUUUGUGGUAGAGAAAUACCACCAUCAUUACUGGAAUCCCACUCAGUUUUUCUAGGCAAUGGAAUGAAACAGCUAGACUAGUGUGUGCAUGCUGUGCACAUAUAAACAUUCUAGACUUGAAUUGAAGAAGCUUGUUACUAUCCUCUUUUGUCCAUUAUAGCUGUAUUUUGCUAUAUCUGCAUUACCUCUUGCCGUGGUAAGUUAUGAUGUUUUAUGUUUGAUGAACAAGACAUAUGUAUCAUAAAACCAACAAGGACUUGAGUCUCCUGAUAGCAUCCAAUGCCUUCACUAUAUAGCAUUGAACACAACAGCAAUGGACCCUAAAAACUAUUAAACUUUAUAGCGCAGGCAAUUCUAGAAAUAGCAACAGUUUUAUUUUAUACCACUUUAUGGAUAAUUCUGAGGUAAUUAGGUAUUUUUUUGUCUAUUUUGAAAGUUUUCUUAACUAGCUUGAUCAAGGUAAGAAACUUUACUUUGUAAUGCAGAGUCAACAAAAAAAAAAAAAACCACUAACAACAAAAAAAAACUGUAGGAAUAUAAUCAAUGAUCUACGAAAUAUAUGCCUUUUAUAUAUGACAUCGUAUUUAUUUUCAAAAAAAAAAAACCUUGUCCAUGAUAAAAACGACAUCAAAUGUAUACUGGGGGAAAAAAAAAAAAAAAAAAAAAAAAAAAAAGGUUUUGCUGUCCCUUAGUUCAUAUUUACAUGACUUCAGAGUGCUUGGCUUACUUUAGCGAUUUUGCUGUCCUGAUAGGUUUACCUACUUAACACUUGUCAUUAUAGAAAAGUAUCUCCAAGUUCAUGGAUAGUUUUAUACAAUUUCCAAGUUGCGUGUUCCUGCAAUUAGUAGCAUGAGUUUAAUUUUGGUAGGGAAUAGAAGGUCUCAAAAAUUGUUUUUGCAGCCUUUAUGAAAAUCUGUUUGUUUGGGAGAAAAUAAUGAGACAUCCAAAAAGUUACCUUUUGCCAACUCAGCUUUGUCAAUUUCCUACAAGAUGUACUAAAAUAUCUCUGUUACCUUAACCCACUGAUUGGAAUUCAUUUUCUUCUUAUGAGAAGUUACUUUAGUGUGGCAGCUAGGGAACUAUGAGGCGGAAUCAUCAACUAGCUUCAAGUACCUAGCUUUGGCCAUCAUAGGCGCCUAGGGUACCAAUAUAUUCAGUGGUGUGAUCUUUGCUUACAGAAAAGAAAUCAGAGUACCUAACAGUCUUCACAUGUACCUUAUUUUCUCCGUUGGGUGGUUGAAGAGACUAAUGUAUCUAAAAAAUACCUCCUUAUUCCACCUAAAUAUUCAAAUUAUCUCUUAAUCCACUGAUUUUAUUAGGAACUGAUUUUAGCUGGUUUCUCAUAGACCAGAGUAUGCUAAUAUUAUCAAGAAAUUAAACACAAACCAAAACUUUCUUGUAGACCUCAGUUCUCCCCUAAUUAGUUUACUCGAGGUUAAUAUAAUCAGUGCUCUGCCAUAGCUGCAUAAAGACAGUGUUGGUGUUAAUGUGGAGAAAAAGUACUGAAGGUAGCACUUCACAAAUAGUCGGAUUGUAAAAAGAAGUUAUAUGAGAAAGGUGAGAUGAUAGAAUGAUACCAUAUAAUUUCCAUAAAAUAACAUCACAUACAUUGAAAACUAGAAAUGACAGCAUUUAGUUUAUUCCUUGUCCUCGUUCUUGCUCUAUUGUGCACAUUUAUUAAUUUAGUCACCCUAAGGAGAUGAUCACAUGCUCUUCCAUUCUACUCAUGAUUCUUUCAGGACACUGAAAAUGUGUCAGAACUGUAUAGCAAAUUAAGUUAAUUUAUGUUAUUGCUUUAUCACAGAAUCAUACAGAAUGGCUUGGGUUGAAAGGAACCUCAAAGAUCACCUAGUUCCAAAUCCCCUGCUGCACCCCCCAUAUCCAGUUGACCAGGGCUCCAUCCAGUGUGGCCUUAAACAUCUCCAGGGAUGGGGCAUCCACAACUCUCUGGGCAGCCUGUUCCAGCACCUCACCACCCUCCCUGUGAAAAAGUUCCCCCAGCAUCUAAUCUAAAUCUUCCCAGCUUUGGUUUAAAACCAUUUCCUUUUCUCCUAUCACUCUCUACCUAUUUAAAAAGUUUAUUUCACUCCUAUUUAUAAGCUGCCUUAAAUACUGGAAGGCCAUAAUGAGGUCUCCCUGGAGCCUUUUCUUUUCCAGACUGAACAAGCCCAGUUCCCUCAACCUAUCUUCAUAGGAGAGGUUCUCCAGCCUUCUGUUAAUAUUAGUGGCACUCCUCUUGACCAUCUUCAACAGCUCCGCACCUUUCUUGUGCUGGGAGCCCCAGACCUGAACACAAUAUUCCAAAUGGGACCUCACAAUGGCAGAGGACAAGGGGACAGUCACCUCCCUCUCCCUGCUAGCCACCACUCUUUUGGUGCAGAUGUUGUUGGCCUUCCAGGCCACAAGCACAUACUGCCAUCUCACGUUAUGUUUUUCAUCUACCAGAACCCCUCCAAGUCCUUUUCCAUAUGUAUACAUAUCUGGGAUUUUCUCAAUCCAAGUGCAGCACCUUGCACUUGGUCUUGUUGAACAUCACUUGGCUCACAUGGGCCCACCUUUCAGGUUUGUCCAGAUCUCUUUGGUUGGCAUCCUUUCUUCUGUCCUAUCAAUUAUGCCACUCAACUCAGUGUCAUCAUGGUGACUGAUGAUGCACUCAAUCCCAUCAUCUAUGUAAUUGAUGAAGGUGUUAAAGAAUACUUGUCCCAAGAUGGACCCAGGGGGGAUACUACUUGUCACUGGCCUUUAUCUGGACAUAGAGCCAUUGACCACAUCCCUCUGACUGCAACCUUCCAACCAUUUUCUUAUCCACCAAAUAUUCCACCCUUCAAACCCAUAUCCCUCUGAUUUAGAGAUAAGGAUGUGGCAUGGGACCGUGUCAAAAAUCCAUCUCAUAGCUUGCAGAAUUUGGAAGGCCGUGUCUUUCUAGAGCUGUCCAUCAUCCAGACUAACCUCUUAUUACAGAGAUGUGUGAAUCUAUAUAAGAAGUUUAAGAUAAAUAUUAAUGUGAUAAAUUCUUUGUUCUUCAUUGAGUAUGUGGCUAACUUAGUCUUUAUUUUCAGAACUUUGGAGCUCUUAGGGAAGUACUGUACAUUUUGAAUGGUGCUCAAGGGUCUGAAUGUGUUCAGCAUCAUUUGAAAUAAAUUAGUGGGAUCUGGAACACUGAGCUUCAGAAUGGGAGUCUCCCAAAGCCCUGAAUUAUGAAUUAUGAACCCAGCAUUAGCACCCCCUCCAGCAUUUGUCAGCUCUUAGACUCGCAGCGAUCUUCCAGCCUAUCAGGUACAGAGUACUUCAUUAUGCGCACGAACAGAAAUGCUUAAAUGGAUGAAGCAGCUAUUUAUGUAUGAUAGGAGCUAAGUGGGACAUUAAAUUAAUGCCAAACAAGGAUUUGAUGUCCUCUGAGUGAAUCACAUCGAAUCAUAGAAUGGCCUGGGUUGAAAAGGAACACAAUGACCAUCGAAUUUCAACCCCCCUGCUAUAUGCAGGGUCACCAACCACCAGAUCAGGCUGCCCAGAGCCACAUCCAGCCUGGCCUUGAAUGCCUCCAGGGACGAGGCAUCCACAACCUCCUUGGGCAACCUGUUCCAGUGUAUCACCACCCUCUGUGUGAAAAACUUCCUCCUAAUAUCUAACCUAAGCUUCCCCUGUCUCAGUUUAAGACCAUUCCUCCUUGUCCUAUCACUAUUCUCCCUCGUAAACAACUGUUCCCUGUUUAUACACUCCCUUCAAGUAUUGGAAGGCCACAAUGAGGUCUCCCUGCAGGCUUCUCUUCUCCAAGCAAACAUGAAUUUCAGGUUCCAAAAUUUGUAUUCCUUUUGAUAAUAAAAGGAAACAAGAAGAUUUGCAGAAAAAAUCUACUUUUUACAGAUGACCCAAAGCCAUAACACAAAUCCUAAUGCUUAAAUUAUGAUAAUUCUUCACACCAAGUAAUAUUAGGCUCAGAAGACACUGACAAAGCAGUUUGAUAUCUAGUAGACAGCAAUACCACCCAGAUAAAUUCUUGUAGAUUUAAGAUCGGUUUUUUAUUGCACUAGUGCCAAGAUACUGAUAAAAAUUUGAAUAAUCUGAGAAUUUGUCCCAAUUGAAGGAAGCGUAGCAAAAUCUAGCACAGUAGUAUUUGAUUAACACCACAUACUUGUCAGCUCUACUAACUGUUCUUGCAAGUUUCAUUCACUUGUUUGGGGUUCUGUAGAUGGAUCCGACCUCUGUGUUCUGUUUUCCUUCAGUUGCAGGUUAUUUUACAAAUCUCAGGAUCUGGAAGACAGAAAACUUUAUCUUCUAAAUGUCUAUCUGUAUUCCUAGAGUUUCGUCAGCUAAAGGAAAGCUAGUUUUAAUCUUAGGUUUUGAACUUAUUAAUAUUGGUUGGCAAUGUUUCCAGUAAACGAUGAUAUGAUUUAAUAAAGUGGUUGUCUUUUAAAAAGUCCAUUUUUACAAAUAUGAAGUUUAGUUUCUUCCUUUUAGAUAGGAAACGUUUUUAUUGAAUAACAGUGGAUAUGUUAUUUAAUCAAUACAAAUUUGGUAUCAGUCUUUUCCUAAUCAAGAUAAUGAAUUUAUAAUCUUUUUAGUACAAGAAACGUUUUAGAAAUUUAUUUUGUCUCUUGAAAUAGGAGAUAAGUCUAAGAUAUUCAUAUUUGUUUAAUGAUAUACUGCCUUGAUCUAUUAGACACCUUGAAAUAUACUGCAAGUGAUGAAAGAACAGCACAUUUUUUGCUUUGCAAUACACUGAUGCAGAUGUUGAAGAUCAAUAUAUCCAAUAAAGUCGUCAUCCUAAAAGUAUACUCUGGUUUCAGCAUCACCUCUUCUUUUGGGGUGUUUGAAACAAAGAUAUAGAAAGUAAAUUGAACUCAUCUUUAGUUAGCAGGCAUAACAUUUCUGUGUAAUAUUUUUCAUUUGAUCAAUGCAUGUAUAAUAUAUUUUGUUGCUGUUUUAAAAAAAGAAACAUGUCAAUAUUAUCUGAGCUUUUAAGGAAAAGACUAGAUACAUAAACAAGAUUGUGCACUGGUAGAAGAGAAGAAUAUACCUGAAUUACUUAGGCCAAAGAGGAAUAAAGAGAUACAGAUGAUGAGGAGAAGAGAGAUCACAAGUCAUUAACUAUGGCUUUAUGUUUCAUGUCUCUGUAUAGUGUGUUUAAUCCUAUUAACUGCUCUCCAUUCAUUCUGUUGUUUCCAUGGAAUAGGAUUCUAAAUCUGCUCCAGAUUAAUAUUAUGCAGUUUGAUAACUAUUGUAGCUUUUUUUAGUAGGUAGAAGGUUCAUCAGAGGUGCCUUUGUUUAUUCCUAACACCUGAAGCGAUCACUGAAUUUCACAUCUCUGGGAAGUUAUCAUUCCUGUAGAAGUAAACAGGUGUUUCUAAAGCUUUCUAGUGGAUGACUAAACCAAUGGCUUUUAUCAAGGUUUUGCAGGUCACUAGAUGUUCAAAAUAGCAGAGGAAAUCAAAAGAACUGCCUGUCUUUUGCUAUCACAGUAAUUUUGCACUUGAGCAUACAAGGAUUGGCUAAUAUAAAAAGUACUGAGGAAGACACGGAGUGAUUCUCUUCAAGCUCUGCCUUGGGAAGUAACAGUAAAAGUUACAUUUCAAAUUACAACUUUACUUGAAAUGUGACUUCAUUUAUUUAUUUUUUUAAACAUUUUCAAUGCCAAGUUUUUGUCCCUUGACAAUGUCAAAUUGGACGCAAUCCACUUCAAGGCAGAAAGAUAAGCUUCUAAUUGCCAGUCUGGUAACCACUCCCUAGAGAUCAAGUGGUAUACUUUUUGCUUUAUGCCUUACCACUAAUAUUGAUACUUUUGCAACCCAGAAAUGCUUUUCCCUUGAGCAUUUACAACCUUCUUCAAAGUCUUCAUACUUUUCCCCUCUUCUGCCAUCUGUCACACAGCAGCAAAAUGUACUGCAGUAUUGGUGGGAAGGUUCAACCUCUACUGCCAUACCACCACCACCUGCCUCUGAUGUCAUUGCCCAACAUAAUAAAAUAUGAGGCAUUACUUAUGGAAGGAGAAAAGUGUAGAAGAUAGUAGAUAGUAGAUGGUUUUUCUUUGAAAAAUAUGAAGUUAUGAUUCUUAGAUGAUACCAAGGAUGAUCAACUGAAAAUAGGUAAGGAUGUAGUCUGGAUAUUGACAGUGACUACAAAGUAACUACACAUAAUUAAUCUAGAAGUAUCACUUGCUACAAAAGAAGAGAACAGUUCAGACUUCAAAUGAUGAGUUGGAGCGACUCCUGUAAACUCUUGUGCCUAGAUCUGUGCAGAAAGACAAAUGUUAACACAGGAAGCCUCCUUGCCAGGGCAACAGGCUGCACUCUGUAGAGCUUGAACACUGUGCUUACAUGAAGUUAAAGCCUCUAAGCUGAACCUGGCUUUUUGAUUUGUUUGUUUCUUUUUUAGCAGUGGUCAAAUAGGGGCUAGUAAGGUAUGCAUCAUUUUCCAAAGUAUUAAAAUAGGCAGUAAAUUAGUAGUGUUUAUGUAAGUAAUCCAGGUGACAACCAUACUCUUACAGGGGUUAAAGUCUAAAGCCAUUGGAUUUUUAAAUGCUGAACAUGUUUUAAGUGCGCUAUUGCUUCAUGCUCUCCUCUAGUAAUAAUGGAUUUGCUGAAAUGAGCAAUUACAUUUAUAAACAGAGAACCUCUCCCACAUGGAGAGAUAUACCCACAAAGUGGUGACCUUUUGGAUAACUAAUGCCAGAACUUGCACUAUAGGAAGACUUAGGAACAUCAGACAUUUGUAACUGUGGCUCUGAAGUGAUAAGGUACCUAUGAGGAAUAACGGUGUCAACAGAGAAAGUUCCUCCCUCGUCUCAGGAAUUUGAUGAAUAACUCUGACUUCAACUGUUUGCUGUUUCUUGGGCAUCCGUUAUGCAUUGAGCAGCUGCUUCUAUUGAGAUGGCCAUGACUGCUUUUAGACCUUAUGGAUCCCAGAAGGUGAACCUAUAAUCAAGUCUUUACUGGGGGCUUCUUGGCAAGGCUAUCUCCAGCCACUGUUCCUGGCCUCAUAUAAGGUGUUCUAGAAAGGGGUUCCUCCAGCCGUGCAUCAGGACAAGGAACCAAGUGCUCCAGAGAGCCAAGUGAAUUGUUACCUGUCACAGCAUCCCCAUGUUCAUCUCUUAAUACUUGUGGGUGUGAUACAAACCACCUAAAAGAGAUUCACUGCCUCUUUUACAGCCCAGACUAGACAGUUUCCUGUGUUCCAUCAGUGCAGUUCUACUGCUGCACAUUUUGGUUUGGUUAGCAGGACUUUAAUCAAGAAAAAAAAAUCUAAUGAGCAGCAAUUUGAAAUACAGCAUUUGGAAAGGUCAAAAUGGUACAUUACAUCCCUAUUAUCCAAAAGAACAGAUGAGUUUAAUAUCCUGACAGCAUUUUCCUGUGAAGAAGAUAUUAAACAAGAACUGAAAAUGGCACAAGGUUCCCUCUUCCUUUCUUUUGACAAAGACUGUAACAAGAUGAUGAAAUUGUACAGAAUAAAUCUCAUCCUGCUUUAAUGUUCAGAUUGGGGAUCCUGCCUAGAUUUCAAAAAUCUAAGCUAAUAAAAGAGACAAAACAUAUGUUAUUUGUUUCAGGUAUAUCCACAUGAAGCAGAAGACUUUUACUAUACAUUUUCCUACUUACAUGACCCAGUUUCCAUCAAUAUUUUCUAGAUUUAAAAAUAGGAAUAAUUGGUAACAGAAGGUACAUAAUGCAUCUAAUUUCAAGAAGUAAAGCAUUGAACUGCAACAGAUAAUGCACUGCAUCAAAACAGCUUAAAAUGUAAAUUUUUCAGCUUCCAUAUGAAAGACUGCAGAAUACAAAGAAUAAAUUCCAACACACAAUGCACUGUAUGUAUUCUGCUUUGGUGAGUCCUUGGCAGUGUGGAACUGUUUGAAGGCAAAGGAAUUUGCACUAUAUCCCGUUGAUUGUUAGCAAUUCAAUUAAUAUAUGGAACUGUCACGAUUUGUUGUCUUAAAUCUUGUUAAAUUGGCCCUCGUGUUAAAUCUUAUUAUUACAACCAAAAAAUGCUGUGCUUAAAAAUCAAAACAUGAGUAUACAGCACACACCUUUAUUAAUAUGACAUGCACUUGUAUUCAUUCCACAUGAGAUAUGAGAAGUCUGCUGUUACAUAAGAGCAUAACAAGUUAUAUAAUAAAGACAUUCAUGAUUAUUAAAGAAAAACAAAUUAUAUGAUUCCAAAAGAUACACAUCUUCAAGUAUAACUGGCUGAAGUAGACGUACAUGGCUUUGAAUAAGAACUCGUAAGUAGAAAUCAUACAGAACCUCUUUUUUUCUUCACCAUCUAGAGAAUACAUCUGAAAAAAUAUCUCUGUGGUGCUUUACGUGCAGUACCUUGCUGAGAAAACCCAUUCUGCUUUGGCCAAGAGAGAGAAAAUGAACAUGCCCAAAAUAUGUUUUUCAAGCCUUGAGUGGAAAAAAAAAUGUUUUUUGGGUUUUUUUUUUUCUUUUUCUUAGGUGAUCUUAUUUUCCACUAGAAAUUGUAGAUACAUCCUUUGUUUUGCAACUGAAAUGCAAGAUAGCUUUUUAAAUGCGUUGGCAAUGUGUGACCAAUUUUGAAACUUCAAAGGUUUUGCAAAACUAUAGAAAAGAAGAUCCCUGAAGGGUGCUAAUUUCCAUAGGCAUUUAUGAAAUGAGUGUUUUCCAUGUAUCUAAAAGAAAUCCACUGGAUAACAUUUAAAGUUUAUAGAGAGUUCCUUGUGAUUUAGUUAAUAGCUCCUGAAACUAAAAUGACAACAAAUAACUCUUUUCUGUUUCCCAACCAGAAAUACGAGCAGAGUAUGAAGCGUCCAGAAAAUAAUAAGCAAAACUGUUUUUCAGUGAAUUAUUGUUCAUAGUUCAGAUCCAUGGAUUUUUAUCAUGCAAAUUACAAAGAAUUCAGACCAUAUAUAAUUCUGCUAUUAAGAAAUAAAUUAUAUGCUGUUGUUAUCCGACUUUUGAAAAUCAGUAUGGAAUGACUGAGUAGAGAACCCAGCCUACUGAGGAGAGUCUCAUCAUGUAAUGGCACAAACAACUUCAGCAAUUCUUAGAGAGUGAGUACCAAAUAUCUGUAGAAGACAGUGGCAUUUGUUACACUUUCUUUCAGUUUGCUCCUGACUAUGCAAAAUGCUGUUACUGCGUCACACACUAUUUAACAUGGGAACUACCUUGAAUACAUUAGGCAGGUUUAUUUAGUUAUUUCAUGAAAUAGAUUUUUUCCAGUAGGUGAUCACAGUAAAUCUGUUUUGAAAAAUUACCAAAAUAAUCAAGUGUAUCUUGUGAACCAAUAUACCAGUUUGUAGUGAAAUUUUAAGAGGUACUUACUUCCCUUACUUACCUUCAAUAAAUCAGAUGGUGGUUGGGCAUUGCCGUGAAAUCUUUCACUAAUGAAGGAAGGACGUUAAGAAUAAAAUCUGACUGUAAAAUGUUGGACCUGCGAAACCAUAAAUUACAUCUCAAAGCAAGGGAUAUUCCUUAAAUUAAUGGCAGAUUUAAAAUAAAAAUUCAACUGAUGGAAAAUGUUUUGUAUUGAAACAAGAUCCUAAAAGAGAGAAGUCAAAACACAGCUGACCAUGUGCAGCACACACAUUCCCACACACUUGGCUUUGUUCCAGGAGGAGCUGGUUUAUUGUAAUCCCAGUAAGAAAGGUACCAUGAUGCAUUGCUUAAAAUACAACUUACUACAGCUAAUACUGUACAGAAAAUGAGUGCAUUACACAUAGUUGUUUGUUCCUUUGGAUACUGGGAACCCCGUGAUGGGACUCCAAGCAGGGCACAGCAUCCUGUGCAGAACUUCUGCAUAGAAAAGCUACCCAGUAUUCUAGUCUUUUGAGUGCUUCUAGGGCUUUCCCAACAGAAAAUAAUUCUGCUUACCAUUUCUACUGUCAAACUAAGAAGAUGUGCAUGUGGGAAUUUGUCACUGCUAUUUCACAUAAAGGCAAGGAGAAGCAGGUGAUGCAAUUGACAGUACCAUGUGGGAGCUGCCCAUAGGCUGCUUUGUUAUCCAGUGAGGUCUGUCCUGCAAAGAGCAGAUGCACAGCCCACAGCACAGACUUGAAGGUUGAGCACAGUGUGGAACAUAGUGCAGAUCUGCCCCUGCAGAGGGAAACUGCUAUGUGGAUCACUAAUUCCUCCAUGUUUGAUGGUCUUCAGGUCAGGAUCUCUGCACAUAUAUGCAUACAUACCUGUUUUAUAUCUGCAUUCUUUUGUGCUCCAUAGUGAUGCAUUGUAUUCAAAUCUAUCCACAUUCAAAAUCUGCACGUCUAUUGCAAAUGCUCCUUUAUUCAUGUCUCUGUG